CAUCGCUGAAAUCAGAUGAAGCACUGCUACGGGUUCUCCCGCCACUUUAAAAAUAAAAAUACAAAUAAGAAGAAAAGGUCAGGUCUCUUUCAUGAGGCGGGCAGAAGUUCCAGAAGCUCCAGUUCUAGAAUCAUACCAGAUGAACCAUUGAUCCAUAGAUGGCGAGCCUUUCCAAUGAACCGUGAACCUUCACCACAGCAUCCUGGAAGCUUGUGGUAGGAUUGUGUCAGUUCAACAAACUGGCAGCAAUGAGAUUUCUCUUUAGAAUAUUUACCCUCGACUUUGACUAACUGACUCGAACUCUGGAUUGAACUCUGGGAUCCCUAAGAACCAUUUCCAAGGAACAUUUUCAGAAAGGACAUUUUAUUUUACAUUUAUUCUGGGCCCAUAGGUAGUGUGCACACAAUUGUUGUGAAGUGCUUGAAAUAUUUUAUUGAACUCAAAAGUUUACACAUUUCAAACCAUUACA